ACGUAAACAACCUGCCUUAAGGAUGGGGAUAACAGACGGAAACGACUGCUAAUACCGAAUACGUUCUAAGCAUCGCAUGGUGCAUAGAAGAAAGGGUGGCCUCUACAAGAAAGCUAUCGCCUUAAGAGGGGUUUGCGACUGAUUAGGUAGUUGGUGAGGUAACGGCUCACCAAGCCGACGAUCAGUAGCCGGUCUGAGAGGACGAACGGCCACACUGGAACUGAGACACGGUCCAG
rnacentral:rRNA from 1 species